UGGCGACGGGUGAGUAACACGUGGGCAAUCUGCCCUGCACUCUGGGACAAGCCCUGGAAACGGGGUCUAAUACCGGAUACUGACCCUCGCAGGCAUCUGCGAGGUUCGAAAGCUCCGGCGGUGCAGGAUGAGCCCGCGGCCUAUCAGCUUGUUGGUGAGGUAAUGGCUCACCAAGGCGACAACGGGUAGCCGGCCUGAAAGGGCGACCGGCCACACUGGGACUGAAACACGGCCCAAACUCCUACGGGAGGCAGCAGUGGGGAAUAUUGCACAAUGGGCGAAAGCCUGAUGCAGCGACGCCGCGUGAGGGAUGACGGCCUUCGGGUUGUAAACCUCUUUCAGCAGGGAAGAAGCGAAAGUGACGGUACCUGCAGAAAAAGCGCCGGCUAACUACGUGCCAGCAGCCGCGGUAAUACGUAGGGCGCAAGCGUUGUCCGGAAUUAUUGGGCGUAAAGAGCUCGUAGGCGGCUUGUCACGUCGGUUGUGAAAGCCCGGGGCUUAACCCCGGGUCUGCAGUCGAUACGGGCAGGCUAGAGUUCGGUAGGGGAGAUCGGAAUUCCUGGUGUAGCGGUGAAAUGCGCAGAUAUCAGGAGGAACACCGGUGGCGAAGGCGGAUCUCUGGGCCGAUACUGACGCUGAGGAGCGAAAGCGUGGGGAGCGAACAGGAUUAGAUACCCUGGUAGUCCACGCCGUAAACGGUGGGCACUAGGUGUGGGCAACAUUCCACGUUGUCCGUGCCGCAGCUAACGCAUUAAGUGCCCCGCCUGGGGAGUACGGCCGCAAGGCUAAAACUCAAAGGAAUUGACGGGGGCCCGCACAAGCGGCGGAGCAUGUGGCUUAAUUCGACGCAACGCGAAGAACCUUACCAAGGCUUGACAUACACCGGAAAGCAUCAGAGAUGGUGCCCCCCUUGUGGUCGGUGUACAGGUGGUGCAUGGCUGUCGUCAGCUCGUGUCGUGAGAUGUUGGGUUAAGUCCCGCAACGAGCGCAACCCUUGUCCCGUGUUGCCAGCAGGCCCUUGUGGUGCUGGGGACUCACGGGAGACCGCCGGGGUCAACUCGGAGGAAGGUGGGGACGACGUCAAGUCAUCAUGCCCCUUAUGUCUUGGGCUGCACACGUGCUACAAUGGCCGGUACAAUGAGCUGCGAUACCGCAAGGUGGAGCGAAUCUCAAAAAGCCGGUCUCAGUUCGGAUUGGGGUCUGCAACUCGACCCCAUGAAGUCGGAGUCGCUAGUAAUCGCAGAUCAGCAU
rnacentral:rRNA from 1 species